rnacentral:rRNA from 1 species
CCUACGGGUGGCUGCAGUGGGGAAUCUUGCACAAUGGGCGACAGCCUGAUGCAGCAAUGCCGCGUGAGGGAAGACGGCCUUCGGGUUGUAAACCUCUUUCAGUUGGGAUGAAGGUUGGACGGUGAACAGCCGCGCCAACUGACCGUACCUUCAGAAGAAGCUCCGGCUAACUACGUGCCAGCAGCCGCGGUAAUACGUAGGGGGCGAGCGUUGUCCGGAAUCCGUGUGGGUAAUUUGCGUGGAGGCGGUUGAAAGUCGGAGGCUCAACCUUCGAAUGCCAGUGGAUACUGCGAGACUUGAGUACGGAAGAGGAGAGUGGAAUUCCUGGUGUAGCGGUGAAAUGCGCAGAUAUCAGGAGGAACACCAACGGCGAAGGCAGCUCUCUGGGACGUAACUGACGCUGAGACGCGAAAGCGUGGGGAGCAAACAGGAUUAGAUACCCCAGUAGUC